rnacentral:snoRNA from 1 species
GCCGUUGAUGACCAAAUCAAAAUAUUUACAAACUAGAGUUUCUGAACUUUAAUGAUUAGAAAACUGAUCAUAAUUUCUGAGG